UCGAACGCUUCUUUCCUCCCGAGUGCUUGCACUCAAUUGGAAAGAGGAGUGGCGGACGGGUGAGUAACACGUGGGUAACCUACCCAUCAGAGGGGGAUAACACUUGGAAACAGGUGCUAAUACCGCAUAACAGUUUAUGCCGCAUGGCAUAAGAGUGAAAGGCGCUUUCGGGUGUCGCUGAUGGAUGGACCCGCGGUGCAUUAGCUAGUUGGUGAGGUAACGGCUCACCAAGGCCACGAUGCAUAGCCGACCUGAGAGGGUGAUCGGCCACACUGGGACUGAGACACGGCCCAGACUCCUACGGGAGGCAGCAGUAGGGAAUCUUCGGCAAUGGACGAAAGUCUGACCGAGCAACGCCGCGUGAGUGAAGAAGGUUUUCGGAUCGUAAAACUCUGUUGUUAGAGAAGAACAAGGACGUUAGUAACUGAACGUCCCCUGACGGUAUCUAACCAGAAAGCCACGGCUAACUACGUGCCAGCAGCCGCGGAA
rnacentral:rRNA from 1 species